CCGAAGAUGAUUUGUAUCCUUCUCCAAUUUUUGGCUGCUGAACAAUUUUUAGCAUAGAACUGAAAAAAUGAAAAUAAAAAAUUCUGUAGAUGAAAUAGUGAAAUUAUGUUGAUCUGUCACUUGAUCUGGUCUUGUGGUCAUGUUGAUGUUGAUUUCAUGAAAACAAAACUUUUGCUUUGAUUAUUUGUUUGUUACUAACUCUAUUUGUACCACUAUCUUAUUUUCUUGCACCGGUGCUACUGAUUUAUUUCCACAAGAACUUGAGAUGUAAGUUAAAAGUUGUGAAUAUUUGCAACAAGAGUUUAAGCAGCAGCAGCAACCUGUGGAAGACAGAAUAGUGGCAUUUGAGGGGAGGAAUUUAUUUAUCUGAUGAGGCAAACAAGGAGAAUUUAGAGUCACCUGAACCUUCCAGCUCUCUUAUAAAGAUAUUGAAAAUAGAAUUUGAAUGUCUUCCUGGCUACAUGAAGGGUCUAGCGACAUGGGAGGAAGAGAUAAAAGAGAUGGAAAGAGAGCAAAUCCGAGAAGGAAUUGAUGAGUUUGGAAUAUUGUAUUCUGAAUUAAGUGAUUCUAACCGAUCUGAAGGCAGCAAUGGUUCUUUUGCAUUCCUUGUGUAAGUAAAACCAUAUGCUACCAUAUUUAAAAAUGUAUUGUAUAAUGUAAAUUGUAAAAUAAGAUAGUGUCAUAAAAUAUAAAAAUGGGUAGGUUGUUUAUGCAGUUUAUCAAUGAUUCAAAAGUGAGUGAUUCUCAAAGUUAUUCUCUUAUUUGUUUUGGAAAAUUUCAGGUUAAAAUUGGAAAUGGAUGGGAAGCCCUAUAAAUAUGCCUAAGUCGAAAGAUAUUUGUUAAAAGAAGCAAAAGAUCCAAUUUAUUCAAUUUCAGUGCACAUUAGUUUGUUCCCUUCAAGUUAUAUUAUCUUUCUUGUCUCUAUCAUUAUAUUUUUGUUUUUGUCUUCUGCUGUGGAUGUUAUUUUGACCUGACUUUUUGUGUUUACAUUUUGAUGUUGUCUCAGAUACUUGCAAUUCCUGCUAUUCCUUUAACAAUGUCAGCAGGACUUCUUUUUGGGUCUGUUAAUUGUGUUGUUAUUGUUGUUGGAGGAACAUGCUUGAGAGAUUGUCUCGCUUCAGUAUUGUUAUGCUUGCCA